rnacentral:rRNA from 1 species
GUCACGAGUUUGAUCCUGGCUCAGAGUGAAUGCUAGUGGUAUGCUUGACACAUGCGAGUCGAACGGAGUGAUAUAAAAUUACUAAGUGGCGUACGGGUGAGUAAUGUAAAAGAAUUUAUAGUAUAGACUGGGAUAAAAUAUAAUAAUAAAUACCAGAUAUUUUGAAGGAGGUUUUCGCUAUACAAAAAGCUUUUAUAAGAUUAGGUAGUUGGUAGGGUAAGAGCCUACCAAGCCGAAGAUCUUUAGUUGGUCUGAGAAGGAUGAUCAACCACACUGGGACUGAAACAAGGCCCAGACUUCCAUGGAGGGCAGCAGUGAGGAAUAUUGGACAAUGGGCGCAAGCUUGAUCCAGCAAUACCAAAUGAGUGAAGAAGGUUUUAAAUUGUAAAGCUCUUGCGUUAAGGAGGAUAAUGACGUGUACUUAAAGAAGAAGCCCUGGCUAACUUCGUG